rnacentral:rRNA from 1 species
GCAUGCAUGCGGGACGUGACAGGGGAUCCCAAGUGCUCAUGCAUUGCAUGGGCUGUUCUUUGGUCUAAGUAACCAGAGGAGUAAGGGCUGGGCAAGACCGGUGCCAGCCGCCGCGGUAAUACCGGCAGCUCAAGUGGUAGCCGCGAUUAUUGGGCCUAAAGCGUUCGUAGCCGGAUAAGUAAGUCUUUGGUUAAAUCCUGCAACUUAACUGUGGGAAAUCUAGGGAUACUGCUUGUCUUGAGACCGGGAGAGGUUAGAGGUACUCCUAGGGUAGGGGUGAAACCCUGUA